UGGAGGGCAUGGUUUUCCUUUUGGGGAUGGUGUAACUGGAGGAACAGUAAUUGGUGGAACUGUCACUGGCGGAAUUCCUAUAGGUGGCAAGUUGAUAGGAGGUUUUACAAUAGGUGGUAUACCAAUUGGUGGCUUAACAACUGGUGGAACUGUCACCGGUGGAAUUCCGAUAGGUGGCUUAAUAACUGGUGGAAUAAUGGGUGGCAAGUUGAUAGGAGGUUUAAUAACCGGUGGAACUGUCACUGGUGGAAUUCCGAUAGGUGGCUUAAUAACUGGUGGAACAACAGGUGGCAAAUUGAUGGGUGGUUUUACAACUGGUGGAACUGUCACUGGUGGAAUUCCGAUAGGCGGCUUAAUAACUGGUGGAACAACGGGUGGCAAGUUGAUGGGUGGUUUUACAAUCGGUGGAACUGUCACUGGUGGAAUUCCAAUGGGUGGCAAAUUGAUAGGGGGUUUAAUACUUGGAGAGGGAGUUUUGGGCUUUUUGGGU
rnacentral:lncRNA from 1 species